rnacentral:rRNA from 1 species
AUGGUUGCUGAAAAUGAGGUGAGGCAAAAAUUACUUGACAAAAAGCGGGAUGCUGAAAGAGUUCUCUCUGGUGUGGAACAGGUUAAUGCUGAGUUUGCUAAUAGCGCUGCUAUGUUGGAGGAUUUCACAGAAGUGCCUGGCAGCCAAAAGGAAGUAGAGUUUGAUUGCACUCAAGACCCAGAUGACUUUGCUAGGAGGCUUGGGAUUAGCACUCAAAAAGUUAAAGAAAUCAAUGACAAUGUUGAGAGGGAGAUGAUUGCGGAGGAAAAUGAGAAUCUGCUACUAGCACAAGAUAAGGAAAAUAGGAGCCCUUCUCUCAUCAGCUCCACUCAGGCCGUGACCGCUCCCGGGAGAGAAGUGAAUCAGAAGCAAACUCCCUUCUCUGACAAAGUUGAUGUAUGUUUACAAUACCCCUUACAAGACCUGUGUGGUGUCGAUGCAGUCAAUAAGCAGAAAAUGAGGGAGGCUGAAGCCAGAGUUCAGAAAGCAAAAGACAAGGCGGCGCUUGAUGAAGCUGCUAGGAGAAGGAGUGAAAGGCAUAAGAAUAAAGAUGAGGGGCAGACUAUGGACAAGGCUACUGAGAUGGCAAAGAAGAAAAAUUUGGAAAUGGCACCAGAGAAAAGGUGUGCAAAAAAUGCUUAG